rnacentral:misc_RNA from 1 species
UGGCACCGUUUGGGGUUUUGUAUAUCAGGUAAUUGAGUUUUUACACUUUAUCAGUGACUUGCUGGCUCUUUUGCACAUAGAGCUUGUGGAAAUGAAACUUGAAAUGUUGUGAUAUACACAAGAUUACGUGGUUGUAAACUGAAAUUGCUCAUUUUGUUAUAAUUAGUAGUUAGCUGUGGUUGGCAGCUGAAACAGAAAUGGUUCUCUUACGAAAAAUAUGCCGCACAAAAUUCAGAAUGCUUUGUCCCAUGGACAGCAUUCAUAGAAUGUUGAUUCAACUUGUG